GUUUUGAUAAGUAUCUGUGUGGGUCAUGCUUUCUGAAUGAGGACUCAACUUUACAGCUGUUAUUGAUGGGUGAUUAUUGAUCUUCUGUAGAGAGCACUGUGGCGGAUAACUGGAAAGUCCAGGAGCACAUACAUAAAUAGAUAUUAUGUUUUAACUGUUUAAGUAGGAGAUGGAGGGAUAAGAAUGCUGAAGAAAUUAAGUAAACAACUUAGUGGUGAGGAUUGUACGUGGAACACCUUAAACACUUUGUGUUGGGCAAUAAGAUCAAUAUCUGGGUCCUUGAUCAUAUAUCAGGAGGAACAGGUAUGCAAUUCUUUUGAGUUCGAUUAUGCUUCGCUCCCGAGUUGCUUAUCUGCUUCCUAGAAUAAUAUAAAAUAGCUUUUUAGUUGCCUAACAUUGUCCGAGUUCGCUCUUAAUUGUGUCUUAGAGUCGAGAUGUUAUCCCAGCUGGCGUAUUUCUAAUAUUCAUAUAUGAAGUUAAAAUGAGAAGCACAAACAAAUGUGUAUGGCACAUUGUUGAGCAUGUUUGGUGGUGGUGGUUCCAUCAUACAUGAUUGUUAUUCUUUGUUUCUUUCUGAAGUACUUAAUGGCCUUUUUUUCCCUAUUUCAUUGGCUUUCUGGAUACUUGGAAGAUGAUAAGGGGAGGUCAUCCAA